UAUAUAUAUAUUUUAUUUUUACAGACUUGUGUGCAGAGGUGUGAAAACAUGAAGAUUGUGAUUCUUGCUGUUUGUAUUGGCUGUCAGCCAGAAUGAAGCCUUGAAGUGUUACUGUGGAGGCCUACAGGAGUGUACAAAGUGGCAACCUGCCCACUCUACUAUUUAUGUGCCUGUAAGUAGCCUACUUUAGUCUUAACUGGGCAUGAGCUGCAGUAAAAAACUGUCCCAAGAAAGUGAAGUCUUUCCACUAGGAAAACAAUCUCCUAAUCUUCCGCUCUUUCCAUGUUUUCACAGCCAGCUCCAAGGGUUGCAUGAAAACAAUUGACUGUGUGAAAUGAGAACUUAUUGCUGUGGCAGUGAUCUGUGCAACAAAUAUCAUGACUUACUAAUGCAUCCCCUGAUGAAUGAAUAUCUUUCAUGUAGUAAUAAAGAGCAAUGUGUUUCAAA